AUAUCCCUUCUACCACCAACCUACAUUUCUCCUCAAAAUAAAGUUCUUUACUUUAACUUCCUUUCAAAACUGAAUCUAUUUUUUCCCUUUUGAGUCUUACCUCCUUCCACAGAUUACUCAACAUUUCCCAAAGACACCUUGAACCUCUGCCUGCCCUUCUGCUUCUGUCUCUAAUGCUCCUCACCUCUGCCUCUCCAAAUCCUACCCAUUCAUAGAGUCACUCAUCUGUGAAGUUGUAGAGCAAAAGGAGCUCUAGGAAUCUGGUCUAACUAUGAAGAAUGAUGAACCUCAGGUCUAUGCAACAAUGCUCGGGAGCAGAGUGACCGAGCCACGACUCAAAAGUGACCCCAAAGUCUUUUAUUUGUUCCCUUUCCAUGUUCUUUCUUCAAGAAUCAGCUUUAGCUACCAUACCAUCUCUUUCUGAAAGAUUUUACUCAUCAUUGCAGCCAGAAAUUUUUUCUCUGUCUCUUCUAACCUCAGGUGGCAUUUUGGUUGUAGCCCUCUUGAGAUACUUAGUUCUUUUUAGGUUGUGUUUUUGUUAUUGGCCAGGUUCUGAGAGAAAGCUAUUCCCUGUGCUGAGAGCAAGGAUACUGGGUGGUCCCUGGGGUGCUGUUUUCCUAAUGGCCUGAUGGUGCAAGUGGAAAGAAUAAUGAGUAGAUGGUAUUGCCCAAUAGCUAGAUAAUAUGACUAAGGCUUGAGUCAGCAAGGGCUAUGACUAUCCUUAACAUUCUGGGCAGUGUUUAGGGUAAAGAAGCCACUGUGGGAAAAUGGAGCAGGGUUUUCUGGAUGAUUCCAGGGUUACAGAUUAAGUAUGGUGGAGAAGAAAUGGUCUUUGGCAGAAUAUCAUCAUAUCUCAUUAUAUUCAACCUAAGCCCAGGAUAACUUGUCAUAAAGAGAGAUACACAAAAUGCAAAAACCUAAUGUAACUCUGACUCUGUGAUUACAGCCUUAUCCAAAAUCUCUGGAGGUAACACCAGUGGAAGCAACCUUAGAAGAGGAAUGAGUUGGCAGGAGGCAAGAGGCAGGAAAGCACUGAGUAAGAGCUGGCAGUGUCAGUGUCAGCAUCAGAUCAAUUAUAGAGAAUGUUUCAUCAUGAGAUGUGAGCAUCAUGUUCCAGGCCCUGAGUGCUUCAUAAAAAAAAAAGUUCCUUUUCCACCAAAACAAUGCCCUGAUUUGAGUGCUUCAUCAAAAGAGAAAGAUUUCUCAUGAUAAACCAUAUUCUAAGCACUUAGAUCACAAUAUAGUAAAUUUUCAAAAGGAAGUCACUUUUGCCAAGAUAUAAAGGCUCAUGUACGUAAAUUCUAUGCUUCCAAUAUAAGUACAUUUCAAAAAUAUUAUUAAACCCUUAUU
ensembl:lncRNA novel transcript